rnacentral:snoRNA from 1 species
CAUAUUUUUAAAACUAUCUUCCGGAUUACCAGCUAUGGCAUAUUCUCUUCCAUAUGCUCAAUAGCAAAAAUGGCCGGAAGUAGAACAACUCCCCACCUGGCAUAACAUAAUCCGGCUAAAAACAAAAAUGCUUUUGGCCGCCCUCCGUUCAUGAAACGGAGGGCGGCCAAAACUCAACUUUUAAGCUGGUUCGCUCUAGGUAUACAAAU